rnacentral:rRNA from 1 species
UGGGGGAUAUUGCACAAUGGGCGAAAGCCUGAUGCAGCGACGCCGCGUGGGGGAUGAAGGCUUUCGGGUUGUAAACCUCUUUCGCUAUCGAACAAGGCCCGCUUAGGGUGGGUUGAGGGUAGGUGGAGAAGAAGCGCCGGCUAACUACGUGCCAGCAGCCGCGGUAAUACGUAGGGCGCGAGCGUGGUCCGGAAUUAUUGGGCGUAAAGGGCUUGUAGGCGGCUUGUUGCGCCUGCUGUGAAAACGCGGGGCUUAACUUCGCGCGUGCAGUGAGUACGGGCAGGCUUGAGUGUGGUAGGGGUGACUGGAAUUCCAGGUGUAGCGGUGGAAUGCGCAGAUAUCUGGAGGAACACCGAUGGCGAAGGCAGGUCACUGGGCCAUUACUGACGCUGAGGAGCGAAAGCAUGGGUAGCGAACAGG